rnacentral:rRNA from 1 species
CUUGGUGUCCAUAGCAGAGGAGUAACGCCUGAUCCCAUCCCGAACUCAGAAGCUAAGACCUCUUGCGCCGAUGGUACUGCAGCAUUCGCUGUGGGAGAGUAGGUCGAUGCCAAGA